rnacentral:rRNA from 1 species
GACGAACGCUGGCGGCGUGCUUAACACAUGCAAGUCGAACGGAAAGGCCCUGCUUUUGUGGGGUGCUCGAGUGGCGAACGGGUGAGUAACACGUGAGUAACCUGCCCUUGACUUUGGGAUAACUUCAGGAAACUGGGGCUAAUACCGGCUAGGAGCUCCUGCUGCAUGGUGGGGGUUGGAAAGUUUCGGCGGUUGGGGAUGGACUCGCGGCUUAUCAGCUUGUUGGUGGGGUAGUGGCUUACCAAGGCUUUGACGGGUAGCCGGCCUGAGAGGGUGACCGGCCACAUUGGGACUGAGAUACGGCCCAGAAUCCGACGGGAGGCAGCAGUGGGGAAUAUUGCACAAUGGGCGGAAGCCUGAUGCAGCAACGCCGCGUGCGGGAUGACGGCCUUCGGGUUGUAAACCGCUUUCGCCUGUGACGAAGCGUGAGUGACGGUAAUGGGUAAAGAAGCACCGGCUAACUACGUG